rnacentral:ncRNA from 1 species
CAUUAAAUCAGUUAUGGUUCAUUUGAUCGUACAGUUUACUCGGAUAACUGUGGUAAUUCUAGAGCUAAUACAUGCGAGAAGCGCCGACCUCGCGGGAGGCGUGCAUUUAUCAGACCAAAAACCGGCCGCGUCUUCGGGCGCGUUCGCCUUGGUGACUCUGGAUAACUUUGCGGAUCGCACGGUCUAGCACCGGCGACGGAUCAUUCAAGUGUCUGCCCUAUCAACUUUCGUCGGUACGGUAUUUGCCUACCGAGGUUCUUACGGGUGACGGGGAAUCAGGGUUCGAUUCCGGAGAGGGAGCCUGAGAAACGGCUACCACAUCCAAGGAAGGCAGCAGGCGCGCAAAUUACCCAUUCCCGACGCGGGGAGGUAGUGACGAAAAAUAACAAUGCAGGACUCGUUCGAGGCCCUGUAAUUGGAAUGAGUACACUUUAAAAGCUUUAACGAGUAUCCAUUGGAGGGCAAGUCUGGUGCCAGCAGCCGCGGUAAUUCCAGCUCCAAAAGUAUAUAUUUAAGUUGUUGCGGUUAAAAAGCUCGUAGUUGGAUUUUGGGCGCAGGCGGCCGGUCCGUCGCAAGGCGUGUACUGGACGUCCUGGCCUUCCCUCCGGUUCUCCGCCGGUGCUCUUGACUGAGUGUCGGCGGCGGCCGGAACGUUUACUUUGAAAAAAUUAGAGUGUUCAAAGCUAGG